rnacentral:rRNA from 1 species
UGGGGAAUAUUGGGCAAUGGGCGAAAGCCUGACCCAGCAACGCCGCGUGAAGGAUGACGGUUUUCGGAUCGUAAACUCCUUUGAUAGGGGACGAAAUUGACGGUACUCGAGGAACAAGCAACGGCUAACUACGUGCCAGCAGCCGCGGUAAUACGUAGGUGGCAAGCGUUAUCCGGAAUCACUGGGCGUAAAGGGCGUGUAGGCGGGAAGAUAAGUCGGGAGUGAAAUCCCAGGGCUUAACCCUGGAGCUGCUUCCGAAACUGUCUUUCUAGAAUGUCGGAGAGGAAGGUGGAAUUCCCAGUGUAGCGGUGAAAUGCGUAGAGAUUGGGAGGAACACCAGUGGCGAAGGCGACUUUCUGGACGAUAACUGACGCUGAGGCGCGAAAGCGUGGGGAGCAAACA